UACGGGGGGGGCAAGCGUUGUUCGGAAUUACUGGGCGUAAAGGGCUCGUAGGCGGCCAACUAAGUCAGACGUGAAAUCCCUCGGCUUAACCGGGGAACUGCGUCUGAUACUGGAUGGCUUGAAUCCGGGAGAGGGAUGCGGAAUUCCAGGUGUAGCGGUGAAAUGCGUAGAUAUCUGGAGGAACACCGGUGGCGAAGGCGGUGGUCUGGGCCGGCACUGACGCUGAGGAGCGAAAGCGUGGGGAGCGAACAGG
rnacentral:rRNA from 1 species